CUUUGUUUAUGUGAAACAAAACCCGCACCACCGGUUUGUGAAGGACAGUCGCAUGAUCCGCAUCAUUGGUCCCUCUCUUACUAUUACAACCAGUACGACUUUAUAACUCAUUUAAAUGCGUUUAAUGUUGUGAACCGAUCACAUCUGGAGAGCAGAGGCUGAUUUAGGUUCAGGUUUUAACGAGAAAGGAAGACACCAUCUGCAGCUGUCAGGUCAAAUAAAUCUACUAAAACACACCAUGUCUGCUGGGGUUAAGCUCUCACUUCCUGCUACUGUGGCUGUGCUGUUGGUGGGCGUGCCUUACUCUAUUUCUCUGACUGCUCAGUGGCUUUAUGGAUGGCCCAACAAGCCUGGAUAUAAGAAGUACAUCGAAGCUCUAAAACCAAGGCGGAUCUACUGUCUGACCAGAGCAGUCCUGGAAACCCUGAAGUAUCUGCAGUACGGCAGGUUGUACUUCCAGUGGAAAUCCUGGUAUAAGAACGAUGAGAAUCGUAAACAUUAUGAGAAGGGCGUCACAUUUGGCCGCAGGGGCAACAAACUGGACUUGUAUCAUCCUCCAAACUCCAUCUCAUGUGAUCUCUCCACUCCUCCGCUGGUCAUGUUCAUCUACGGGGGAGCGUGGAGCUCUGGAGAACGAUCCAACUACUGUUUACUAGCCCGACAUAUGGCUGAGGAGCUGAACGCUGCAGUGGUUUGUCCUGACUACUGCACGUACCCACAGGGGAAUGUUUUAGCCAUGGUCCAAGAUAUCGCAGACUGCUUAGUCUGGGCUCUGGAGAGUGGAAACAAGUUCAGAUUUGACCAAGACAACAUUGUGCUAAUGGGACAUUCAGCAGGAGCUCAUCUGUGUGCACUGACUGCACUGUUUCUUAUUGAUGGAAGAGAAGAGCUUCUCAUUGAGUUAAACAAGCAGCGGGAGGUCACGUUAUCAAUACGAGGGAUUAUUGGCCUCAGCGGUGUCUACGACGUCAUGGAUCAUUAUGAGCACGAACAGAUGCGAGCUGUUGAAUAUGUGUCCACUAUGCACAAAGCCAUGAAUGGGUUGGAAAACUUCUCGUAUUACUCACCAACACACUUGGUAGAGAGCUUCAGCCAGGACAAACUCAGCAGAGUGCCUCCAUUCUCUUUACUCCACGGGACCAGUGACAUCAUCGUUCCUGUGGAAUCGUCCGUUAAGUUCUCCGAGCUCCUCACCUCCUUGUCUUUGGAGGCGUCGCUCUAUCUGCUUCCUGGUGUCGACCACACAGAGAUGGUCACUGACCUCAUGGUUCCAAACAGACACUUUUACCAUGUCAUCUAUGGAUGUAUCAAACAGGAGGCUGGAAAACUGCUGAGCUCAUGCAGAAAAGUGUGAUAUUCACCCAUCGUAACAUAGCCCAACCCUCAGACAGUAUUCACUACUUCAGCGCCUCAUCAUCACCUUAAAUGUACCCAUAUUCUAUUUAUUAUUCCUUUAAAGUGGCUUUUCAGUGAUUGUAUGUGAGAAACACAUGUAUCAGAAACAGUACAGAUACUACAUGUUAAAAAAACGGUAGUAGUAGCUUAGUCAAAAUUUUAAUAAUUCUAGAAAGUUCAUUUUGUCUUAUUUUUCAAAAUAAUAUUUUAGGUUUUAUUUAUAUAGACAUCUUUUUUCAGGAAAUUUACUUUGAAAUUUAAUCUGAUCUCCUGACAUGUUUUGGCUGACAACUGUCAUUCUUCCUCAGAGGCAUCUGCUGAUCGCUUUGAUGUGUCGUUAUGAGUUCUUUCUGGGCGUGGCCAACUUGACAGUUCUGUCAGGCUAGCCACGCCCCCUGUCGCCCGAUAGUCUCUGGAGAAGAGAGUCCCAGGUGAAGGAGAGUAAAAAUGUUCACUAAUUCCUGUUGACAUUGAAGCUCCGCCUCCUGAUGUUGAUGGCUUCUUUGAUCCAGUUGGCAGUCGAAACAUGUCCGGAGAUCAAAGUAAAUUUCCUGAAAAACUUUUCAGAAUAAAUGAAACCAUAACAUAUUCUAGUCA
ensembl:lncRNA probable isoprenylcysteine alpha-carbonyl methylesterase ICMEL1